rnacentral:rRNA from 1 species
AAUACAUCGGAAUCUACUCUGUCGUGGGGGAGUAACGUAGGGAAACUUACGCUAAUACCGCAUACGACCUACGGGUGAAAGCAGGGAUCUUCGGACCUUGCGCGAUUGAAUGAGCCGAUGUCGGAUUAGCUAGUUGGCGGGGUAAAGGCCCACCAAGGCGACGAUCCGUAGCUGGUCUGAGAGGAUGAUCAGCCACACUGGAACUGAGACACGGUCCAGACUCCUACGGGAGGCAGCAGCC